AUUGAACGCUGGCGGCAUGCCUUACACAUGCAAGUCGAACGGCAGCGGGCCUUCGGGUGCCGGCGAGUGGCGAACGGGUGAGUAAUGCAUCGGAACGUGCCAUUGAGUGGGGGAUAACGUAGCGAAAGUUGCGCUAAUACCGCAUAUUCUGUGAGCAGGAAAGCAGGGGGACCGCAAGGGCCUUGCGCUCUUUGAGCGGCCGAUGUCAGAUUAGCUAGUUGGUGAGGUAAAGGCUUACCAAGGCGACGAUCUGUAGCGGGUCUGAGAGGAUGAUCCGCCACACUGGAACUGAGACACGGUCCAGACUCCUACGGGAGGCAGCAGUGGGGAAUUUUGGACAAUGGGGGCAACCCUGAUCCAGCCAUGCCGCGUGAGUGAAGAAGGCCUCGGUUGUAAG
rnacentral:rRNA from 1 species